GAUGAACGCUGGCGGCGUGCCUAAUACAUGCAAGUCGAGCGAACGGACGAGAAGCUUGCUUCUCUGAUGUUAGCGGCGGACGGGUGAGUAACACGUGGAUAACCUACCUAUAAGACUGGGAUAACUUCGGGAAACCGGAGCUAAUACCGGAUGAUAUUUUGAACCGCAUGGUUCAAAAGUGAAAGACGGUCUUGCUGUCACUUAUAGAUGGAUCCGCGCUGCAUUAGCUAGUUGGUAAGGUAACGGCUUACCAAGGCAACGAUGCAUAGCCGACCUGAGAGGGUGAUCGGCCACACUGGAACUGAGACACGGUCCAGACUCCUACGGGAGGCAGCAGUAGGGAAUCUUCCGCAAUGGGCGAAAGCCUGACGGAGCAACGCCGCGUGAGUGAUGAAGGUCUUCGGAUCGUAAAACUCUGUUAUUAGGGAAGAACAUAUGUGUAAGUAACUGUGCACAUCUUGACGGUACCUAAUCAGAAAGCCACGGCUAACUACGUGCCAGCAGCCGCGGUAAUACGUAGGUGGCAAGCGUUAUCCGGAAUUAUUGGGCGUAAAGCGCGCGUAGGCGGUUUUUUAAGUCUGAUGUGAAAGCCCACGGCUCAACCGUGGAGGGUCAUUGGAAACUGGAAAACUUGAGUGCAGAAGAGGAAAGUGGAAUUCCAUGUGUAGCGGUGAAAUGCGCAGAGAUAUGGAGGAACACCAGUGGCGAAGGCGACUUUCUGGUCUGUAACUGACGCUGAUGUGCGAAAGCGUGGGGAUCAAACAGGAUUAGAUACCCUGGUAGUCCACGCCGUAAACGAUGAGUGCUAAGUGUUAGGGGGUUUCCGCCCCUUAGUGCUGCAGCUAACGCAUUAAGCACUCCGCCUGGGGAGUACGACCGCAAGGUUGAAACUCAAAGGAAUUGACGGGGACCCGCACAAGCGGUGGAGCAUGUGGUUUAAUUCGAAGCAACGCGAAGAACCUUACCAAAUCUUGACAUCCUUUGACAACUCUAGAGAUAGAGCCUUCCCCUUCGGGGGACAAAGUGACAGGUGGUGCAUGGUUGUCGUCAGCUCGUGUCGUGAGAUGUUGGGUUAAGUCCCGCAACGAGCGCAACCCUUAAGCUUAGUUGCCAUCAUUAAGUUGGGCACUCUAAGUUGACUGCCGGUGACAAACCGGAGGAAGGUAGGGAUGACGUCAAAUCAUCAUGCCCCUUAUGAUUUGGGCUACACACGUGCUACAAUGGACAAUACAAAGGGCAGCGAAACCGCGAGGUCAAGCAAAUCCCAUAAAGUUGUUCUCAGUUCGGAUUGUAGUCUGCAACUCGACUACAUGAAGCUGGAAUCGCUAGUAAUCGUAGAUCAGCAUGCUACGGUGAAUACGUUCCCGGGUCU
rnacentral:rRNA from 1 species